rnacentral:piRNA from 1 species
GAGUGUGCAGGAUGUGACC